rnacentral:rRNA from 1 species
AUACGGAGGAUCCGAGCGUUAUCCGGAUUUAUUGGGUUUAAAGGGUGCGUAGGCGGCGCUGUAAGUCAGACGUGAAAUUCCUGGGCUUAACCUGGGGACUGCGUUUGAGACUGUGGUGCUAGAGGGUGGAAGAGGCUCGUGGAAUUCCCAGUGUAGAGGUGAAAUUCGUAGAUAUUAGGAGGAACACCAGUGGCGAAGGCGACUUACUGGACUGUAACUGACACUGAGGCACGAAAGCGUGGGUAGC